rnacentral:rRNA from 1 species
AUGGUGCUAAAGGGUGUCCGUGCAUUGCCUGUGACAGCAAUAGUAGAGUAUACAUUGCAGAAGUUGAGUGUCUAUUUUCAAAAGUAUAGUGAAGAAACAUCCAACUUGAUGUCCCGGAAAAACAAGGCCAAAAAGAUGUACAAGUAUCCACCAAAGGUCGACGAUUGGAUGGAAUACCAAGCAAGGAAGGCGGAUUCACACAAAAUCUAGUCCUUUGAUAACAUAGAAUUGAUUUACCAAGUUGAUGACCAUGGUGGAAUGUCGCGUGAUGGCGUGCCAUAUGGAGGUGGCUCCUUAAAGGUUUAUCUUAAGAUGGGCGCGUGUUCAUGCGAGAGGCCUACAUUGUAUCAUCUCCCGUGCUCUCACUUGAUGGCUGCAUCUCGCACUAGAAAUGUGAGUGUCAACAUGACCAACAAUGUAAGAUUGGAGGAGUAUUCGAUCAAUGCGAAAAAUACAUGGGCUGCGAGGUUUCAUCCCUAUCUAGACCAAUCUAAAUGGCCGGAAUACCAUGGACCCCAACUAUACCCUGAUUUGUAA